GUCUAAGUAUAAGCAACUAUACUGUGAAACUGCGAAUGGCUCAUUAAAUCAGUUAUCGUUUAUUUGAUAGUACCUUACUACUUGGAUAACCGUGGUAAUUCUAGAGCUAAUACAUGCGAAAAACCCCGACUUCGGAAGGGGUGUAUUUAUUAGAUAAAAAACCAAUGCCCUUCGGGGCUUCCUGGUGAUUCAUAAUAACUAAACGAAUCGCAUGGCCUUGCGCCGGCGAUGGUUCAUUCAAAUUUCUGCCCUAUCAACUUUCGAUUGUAGAGUAGUGGUCUACAAUGGUUUCAACGGGUAACGGGGAAUUAGGGUUCGACUCCGGAGAGGGAGCCUGAGAAACGGCUACCACAUCCAAGGAAGGCAGCAGGCGCGCAAAUUACCCAAUCCCGACACGGGGAGGUAGUGACAAUAAAUACUGAUACAGGGCUCUUUUGGGUCUUGUAAUUGGAAUGAGUACAAUUUAAAUCCCUUAACGAGGAACAACUGGAGGGCAAGUCUGGUGCCAGCAGCCGCGGUAAUUCCAGCUCCAGAAGCGUAUAUUAAAGUUGUUGCAGUUAAAAAGCUCGUAGUUGAAUUUUGGGCCUGGCUGGCCGGUCCGCCUCACCGCGUGCACUGGUCCGGCCGGGCCUUUCCUCCUGGGGAUCCGCAUGCCCUUCACUGGGUGUGUUGGGGAACCAGGACUUUUACUUUGAAAAAAUUAGAGUGUUCAAAGCAGGCCUUUGCUCGAAUACAUUAGCAUGGAAUAAUAGAAUAGGACGGCUUUCCUAUUUUGUUGGUUUCUAGGGGAGCCGUAAUGAUUAAUAGGGAUAGUCGGGGGCAUCAGUAUUCAAUUGUCAGAGGUGAAAUUCUUGGAUUUAUUGAAGACUAACUACUGCGAAAGCAUUUGCCAAGGAUGUUUUCAUUAAUCAGUGAACGAAAGUUAGGGGAUCGAAGACGAUCAGAUACCGUCGUAGUCUUAACCAUAAACUAUGCCGACUAGGGAUCGGGCGAUGUUACUAUCUUGACUCGCUCGGCACCUUACGAGAAAUCAAAGUUUUUGGGUUCUGGGGGGAGUAUGUCGCAAG
rnacentral:rRNA from 1 species